rnacentral:rRNA from 1 species
UACGGGGGGGGCAAGCGUUGUUCGGAAUUACUGGGCGUAAAGCGCACGCAGGCGGUCUUUUAAGUUUGACGUGAAAGCUCCCGGCUUAACUGGGAGAGGUCGUUGAAGACUGGAAGACUUGAGGCAAUGAGAGGGGUGUAGAAUUCCCGGUGUAGUGGUGGAAUGCGUAGAUAUCGGGGGGAAUACCAGUGGCGAAAGCGGCCCCCUAGCGUUAGCCUGACGCUCAUGUGCGAAAGCGUGGGGAGCGAACGGG